rnacentral:tRNA from 1 species
GGGGAUGUAGCUCAGUGGUAGAGCACUUGCCUAGUGUGCAUGAGGCCCUGAAUUCAAUUUCCAGCACCUCAA